UACAGAGGGGGCAAGCGUUGUUCGGAAUUACUGGGCGUAAAGGGCGCGUAGGCGGCCUUCUAAGUCGAACGUGAAAUCCCUGGGCUCAACCCAGGAACUGCGUCCGAUACUGGAAGGCUUGAAUCCGGGAGAGGGAUGCGGAAUUCCAGGUGUAGCGGUGAAAUGCGUAGAUAUCGAGAGGAACACCUGCGGCGAAGGCGGGUUGCUGGGCUGACACUGACGCUGAGGCACGAAAGCGUGGGGAGCAAACAGG
rnacentral:rRNA from 1 species